rnacentral:rRNA from 1 species
GGAGGAAAGCAGGGGAUCGCAAGACCUUGCGCUUUUGGAGCGGCCGAUGUCUGAUUAGCUAGUUGGUGAGGUAAAGGCUUACCAAGGCUUCGAUCAGUAGCUGGUCUGAGAGGACGACCAGCCACACUGGGACUGAGACACGGCCCAGACUCCUACGGGAGGCAGCAGUGGGGAAUUUUGGACAAUGGGGGCAACCCUGAUCCAGCCAUGCCGCGUGAGUGAAGAAGGCCUUCGGGUUGUAAAGCUCUUUCAGCCGGAACGAAAAGGUUACGGUUAAUACCCGUGACUAAUGACGGUACCGGAAGAAGAAGCACCGGCUAACUACGUGCCAGCAGCCGCGGUAAUACGUAGGGUGCGAGCGUUAAUCGGAAUUACUGGGCGUAAAGCGUGCGCAGGCGGUUUUGUAAGUCAGAUGUGAAAUCCCCGGGCUUAACCUGGGAACUGCGUUUGAAACUACAAGGCUAG